rnacentral:misc_RNA from 1 species
GUAGGUGAACCUGCGGAAGGAUCAUUAAUAUAGAAAUAGAGUCUGAGGGGUGUAUACCGCAAAGCUCUAAUUUUUCCGAAUAACAUGGACUGAGGGAUUACGGACCUGAAAUGAAGUGUCGGAAACUGAAAAGUGGCGCAAGAUUGGGAACGUAUGAACUUGGAAAGUGUUUGCACCGACUGUGUCUUAUGGGCACAGACAGUGUGAAAUUACUUGUUGAAACACUUUGAUUAUGCUUCGGCUGCACCUU